rnacentral:rRNA from 1 species
AACGCAUGCAAGUCGAGGGGCAGCAUGGUCUUUUCUUGCUAAGGCCGAUGGCGACCGGCGCACGGGUGAGUAACACGUAUCCAACCUGCCGUCUACUCUUGGACAGCCUUCUGAAAGGAAGAUUAAUACAAGAUGGCAUCAUGAGUCCGCAUGUUCACAUGAUUAAAGGUAUUCCGGUAGACGAUGGGGAUGCGUUCCAUUAGAUAGUAGGCGGGGUAACGGCCCACCUAGUCUUCGAUGGAUAGGGGUUCUGAGAGGAAGGUCCCCCACAUUGGAACUGAGACACGGUCCAAACUCCUACGGGAGGCAGCAGUGAGGAAUAUUGGUCAAUGGGCGAGAGCCUGAACCAGCCAAGUAGCGUGAAGGAUGACUGCCCUAUGGGUUGUAAACUUCUUUUAUAAAGGAAUAAAGUCGGGUAUGGAUACCCGUUUGCAUGUACUUUAUGAAUAAGGAUCGGCUAACUCCGUGCCAGCAGCCGCGGUAAUACGGAGGAUCCGAGCGUUAUCCGGAUUUAUUGGGUUUAAAGGGAGCGUAGAUGGAUGUUUAAGUCAGUUGUGAAAGUUUGCGGCUCAACCGUAAAAUUGCAGUUGAUACUGGAUAUCUUGAGUGCAGUUGAGGCAGGCGGAAUUCGUGGUGUAGCGGUGAAAUGCUUAGAUAUCACGAAGAACUCCGAUUGCGAAGGCAGCCUGCUAAGCUGCAACUGACAUUGAGGCUCGAAAGUGUGGGUAUCAAACAGGAUUAGAUACCCUGGUAGUCCACACGGUAAACGAUGAAUACUCGCUGUUUGCGAUAUACUGCAAGCGGCCAAGCGAAAGCGUUAAGUAUUCCACCUGGGGAGUACGCCGGCAACGGUGAAACUCAAAGGAAUUGACGGGGGCCCGCACAAGCGGAGGAACAUGUGGUUUAAUUCGAUGAUACGCGAGGAACCUUACCCGGGCUUAAAUUGCAGAUGAAUUACGGUGAAAGCCGUAAGCCGCAAGGCAUCUGUGAAGGUGCUGCAUGGUUGUCGUCAGCUCGUGCCGUGAGGUGUCGGCUUAAGUGCCAUAACGAGCGCAACCCUUGUUGUCAGUUACUAACAGGUUCCGCUGAGGACUCUGACAAGACUGCCAUCGUAAGAUGUGAGGAAGGUGGGGAUGACGUCAAAUCAGCACGGCCCUUACGUCCGGGGCUACACACGUGUUACAAUGGGGGGUACAGAGGGCCGCUACCACGCGAGUGGAUGCCAAUCCCCAAAACCUCUCUCAGUUCGGACUGGAGUCUGCAACCCGACUCCACGAAGCUGGAUUCGCUAGUAAUCGCGCAUCAGCCACGGCGCGGUGAAUACGUUCCCGGGCCUUGUACACACCGCCCGUCAAGCCAUGGGAGCCGGGGGUACCUGAAGUGCGUAACCGCGAGGAGCGCCCUAGGGUAAAACUGGUGACUGGGGCUAAGUCAU